UACCAGACUCCUACGGGAGGCAGCAGUGGGGAAUAUUGCACAAUGGGGGAAACCCUGAUGCAGCGACGCCGCGUGAGCGAUGAAGUAUUUCGGUAUGUAAAGCUCUAUCAGCAGGGAAGAAAAUGACGGUACCUGACUAAGAAGCCCCGGCUAACUACGUGCCAGCAGCCGCGGUAAUACGUAGGGGGCAAGCGUUAUCCGGAUUUACUGGGUGUAAAGGGAGCGUAGACGGCUGUGCAAGCCAGAUGUGAAAGCCCGGGGCUCAACCCCGGGACUGCAUUUGGAACUGUGUGGCUGGAGUGCGGGAGGGGCAGGCGGAAUUCCUGGUGUAGCGGUGAAAUGCGUAGAUAUCAGGAGGAACACCGGCGGCGAAGGCGGCCUGCUGGACCGCGACUGACGUUGAGGCUCGAAAGCGUGGGGAGCAAACAGGAUUAGAUACCCCUGUA
rnacentral:rRNA from 1 species